UACGUAGGGUGCAAGCGUUAAUCGGAAUUACUGGGCGUAAAGCGUGCGCAGGCGGUUUUGUAAGCCAGAUGUGAAAUCCCCGGGCUUAACCUGGGAAUGGCAUUUGGGACUGCAAGGCUUGAGUGCGGCAGAGGAGACUGGAAUUCCUGGUGUAGCAGUGAAAUGCGUAGAUAUCAGGAGGAACACCGAUGGCGAAGGCAGGUCUCUGGGCUGACACUGACGCUCAUGCACGAAAGCGUGGGGAGCAAACGAGG
rnacentral:rRNA from 1 species